rnacentral:rRNA from 1 species
GUGGGGAAUCUUGCGCAAUGGGCGAAAGCCUGACGCAGCCAUGCCGCGUGAAUGAUGAAGGUCUUAGGAUUGUAAAAUUCUUUCACCGGGGACGAUAAUGACGGUACCCGGAGAAGAAGCUCCGGCUAACUUCGUGCCAGCAGCCGCGGUAAUACGAAGGGGGCUAGCGUUGCUCGGAAUUACUGGGCGUAAAGGGCGCGUAGGCGGACAGCUUAGUCAGAGGUGAAAGUCCAGGGCUCAACCUUGGAAUUGCCUUUGAUACUGACUGCGUGGAGUUUGGGAGAGGUGAGUGGAACUCCGAGUGUAGAGGUGACAUUCGUAGAUAUUCGGAAGAACACCAGUGGCGAAGGCGACUCACUGGCCCGUUACUGACGCUGAGGCGCGAAAGCGUGGGGAGCAAACAGGAUUAGAAACCCGAGUAGUCC